rnacentral:rRNA from 1 species
UACGGGGGGGGCAAGCGUUGUUCGGAAUUACUGGGCGUAAAGGGCUCGUAGGCGGCCAACUAAGUCAGACGUGAAAUCCCUCGGCUUAACCGGGGAACUGCGUCUGAUACUGGAUGGCUUGAGUUUGGGAGAGGGAUGCGGAAUUCCAGGUGUAGCGGUGAAAUGCGUAGAUAUCUGGAGGAACACCGGUGGCGAAGGCGGCAUCCUGGACCAACACUGACGCUGAGGAGCGAGAGCCAGGGGAGCAAACGGG